CAAACACGUGGAUAGGAAUAAUCUCCUAUUACUAUGCGUAUAUAUAUGUUUUCAAUUUGUCUAGAGUUUUAAAAGGUGCGAAGAGAUUAGCAGUAAAACUGUGAUCCUCGUUUGGUAAUGCUAUCAUCAUAAAGUCGUCCCUUGGCCAAAUAUGAAGAUGAUUACCGCUCAUUGAAAACUUUUUAACAAGAGUAAUAAAUAUUAUUAUAUUCCAAUUAGGUGACAGUUCACAUGGAAUAAAUAAUUCAAUGUAUCCAUGUUCUAUGUAAAUCUGACUGCAAUUAAAAAGUGGUCUUUUCAUAAAGAUUUUACGUAUUGUGGAAUAAGCUCCAUCUGCUCCGAUUAUUAAAUCAAUAUUUACUUCUUCCGUCGU